AGCGAACGCUGGCGGCAGGCUUAACACAUGCAAGUCGAGCGGGCGUAGCAAUACGUCAGCGGCAGACGGGUGAGUAACGCGUGGGAACAUACCUCUUGGUUCGGAACAACACAGGGAAACUUGUGCUAAUACCGGAUAAGCCCUUACGGGGAAAGAUUUAUCGCCGAGAGAUUGGCCCGCGUCUGAUUAGCUAGUUGGUGAGGUAACGGCUCACCAAGGCGACGAUCAGUAGCUGGUCUGAGAGGAUGAUCAGCCACAUUGGGACUGAGACACGGCCCAGA
rnacentral:rRNA from 1 species